rnacentral:rRNA from 1 species
AUGCGCACAUUUCAUUUUAGAUUGCUAACAGCCUUUCGUGUCAGCACUAAUGCUAAACCAAUGUCGUCUGAGGCGAUUUUAUCUCUUGAGCGAGGCAAUAAAUGCAUUUUUUUUGUUCUUCUGUGGCAAAAAACACCUUCUGUUUUUUCUUGCAUAUGCUUAUCAAAUUUAUUAACCAUAAUCAUUGUUUGUUUCAUGCAGGCUGACCAGUUAAUUUAUUUAGUGUACUGCUCUUUAAGUAUAUCUCAGCUCCUGAACGUAUUUUGUACCUUGAGGUUGGUUAUUCUGGAUACUACAAUUAACUGA